GAAGAACCUUACCAGGCCUUGACAUGCAGAGAACUUUCCAGAGAUGGAUUGGUGCCUUCGGGAACUCUGACACAGGUGCUGCAUGGCGGUCGUCAGCUCGUGUCGUGAGAUGUUGGGUUAAGUCCCGUAACGAGCGCAACCCUUGUCCUUAGUUACCAGCACGUUAAGGUGGGCACUCUAAGGAGACUGCCGGUGACAAACCGGAGGAAGGUGGGGAUGACGUCAAGUCAUCAUGGCCCUUACGGCCUGGGCUACACACGUGCUACAAUGGUCGGUACAAAGGGUUGCCAAGCCGCGAGGUGGAGCUAAUCCCAUAAAACCGAUCGUAGUCCGGAUCGCAGUCUGCAACUCGACUGCGUGAAGUCGGAAUCGCUAGUAAUCGUGAAUCAGAAUGUCACGGUGAAUACGUUCCCGGGCCUUGUACACACCGCCCGUCACACCAUGGGAGUGGGUUGCUCCAGAAGUA
rnacentral:rRNA from 1 species